rnacentral:misc_RNA from 1 species
CUAGAUAAAAUUUCUCAUACAAUAACUAUUAACAUUAAUGUUCCCAAGGAAAAAAGAUAAGUUCAAAUAUUGGAAAAAGAAAAAUAAAAAAUAAUAAUUAUAUAUAUAUAUAUAACAUCACAAUCACUCUCCUGAUACAAACAUCCUACUAAAAGACAUGGUUUAACCCCAAAUGAUUGCGAGGAAAGUAAUGACUUGAGUAUCACAGUGUCUGCCCAUCACAUUCUCAAGAGGGACCAUUACAGUUGAAAGCCCCUCACUUGCAGAGAUAAUAACAUGAAUGGCAACAGAUGGAAAGACAUCAGAAUUUUACCCUCCUUUCAUGACUCAAUCUCAACACUUCUCCACAUCAAUCAUACUGGAGUUCACAUGAUACUGGAGUUCACAUGACAC